CCUACGGGAGGCAGCAGUGAGGAAUAUUGGUCAAUGGACGAGAGCCUGAACCAGCCAAGUAGCGUGAAGGAUGACAGCCCUAUGGGUUGUAAACUUCUUUUAUAUGGGAAUAAAAUGUCCCACGUGUGGGGUUUUGUAUGUACCAUAUGAAUAAGGAUCGGCUAAUUCCGUGCCAGCAGCCGCGGUAAUACGGAGUAUGCGAGCGUUAUCCGGAUUUAUUGGGGUUAAAGGGGGCGUAGGUGGGUUUUUAAGUCAGUUGUGAAAGUUUGCGGCUCAACCGUAACAGUGCAGUUGAAACUGGCAGUCUUGAGUACGGUAAGGGUAGACGGAAUUCGUGGUGUAGCGGUGAAAUGCUUAGAUAUCACGAAGAACUCCGAUUGCGAAGGCAGCUCACUGGACUGCGACUGACACUGAGGCUCGAAAGUGUGGGUAUCAAACAGGAUUAGAUACCCCUGUAGUC
rnacentral:rRNA from 1 species